AUUUUUUUUGAGUCCUGCAGAGGUAAAACCUCAGUGAUGACGUCCUUUGGGGGAAUGAGGGAGGUGGUCGACAUGUAAAAGCCAAAUGUGUUGCAUUCCCCCCGUCCCAUAAUUUAUACAUUAUAUUAUUUUAUUAUGAUUAUGCGUUUUCUUUUGUUCUAUUUGCAAAUUUUUAGCAUAGGCUAGACAUACAUAUAUAUAUAUAUAUAUAUAUAUAUAUGUUUAUUACGUAUACAUAUAUAUAUAUAUACAAAUAUAUUUCUUUAUUUGAGGAAUUGCCAAAAUUUACAGUUAAUAGUUCUACACGCUUAGAUUUGCAUUAGAUGGCAAUCUUUCUAUUCUUUAGUCCCAACAUAAACGAUUUAUCUCAACAACUAUCUCUCAGCGUCUACAAAUCCGAGUUCGUCCAAACUACACCCACAGCAGCAACAGUAAUUGGGAAGGGCAGGGAACCACACUUCAGUAGGAUUGACGAAAAAGGAGGAGCAACAAAACACACGCGCAACCCAACAAAAGAAAGAAUGAAAAAUUGAAAGUGUAUAACGAGAGAGAGAGAGAGAGAAAGAGAGAGUCCUCAUUAAUAAUUUCUAAAUUAAAAGUAUAUAACUUCAAUCUAGGCUUAGUCUUUUACAUAAGAGCUAAAGUGCGACAAAUUGUAAAUAAGCGUUGUUGUAUCAUUUGGUUCGCCCGCAUCGUCCCUCUAGCCACGCAGCAGAGCAUGAGAGUUUAAGAAACCAGCAGAGGAGAAGGAAAGGAGCAGUAAAAGUUGUUUGCCAAAAAAAGAGGAAAAAACAAGAAACUACAAAAUAUAAGUCAACAAUAAUUAUAAUAAUAAUAACAAUAUGGUAAAAAGUAAACUUUGUUUCUCAAAUAAAACAAAAAAUUAACAAAAAACACUACUUAUUUCGCUGAGAAACAUGAACAGAGGCAGCGAACGAAGGGAAUAGAACGACUAAAGAGAGAGAGAUGGAGAAAGUCGAGCUAUAAAUACAUAUAUAUAUACAUAUAUAUGCAUAUAAAAGUAAUAAUAAAUCGGAAGAGCAAACAGCGUUAAAAUAAAGGAAAACAUUUGUUUCAAACAACAAUUAUUUGUGAUUUUAAAACAUGAAAUGAUAAAUCGACGAUGCGAUGUAGUAGGACAGCAUAAUAUUAAUAAUAAUGAUAUAAAUCUACUAUAAUAAUACGAAUAAAGUUUCAUUUAAACACUAAAA